UUACAACAAUGAUAUCAUCAGUGAAAGUGACAUUUGUGUGUAAAAAAAUGCAAAUAGUCACUUUCACUGACAAUAUCAUCGCUGUAAUAUGAUUUA